rnacentral:rRNA from 1 species
GACGAACGCUGGCGGCGUGCUUAACACAUGCAAGUCGAACGGAAAGGCCUUUUCGGAGGUACUCGAGUGGCGAACGGGUGAGUAACACGUGGGUGAUCUGCCCUGCACUCUGGGAUAAGCCUGGGAAACUGGGUCUAAUACCGGAUAGGACCGCACCUUAGUGUGUGUGGUGGAAAGUUUUUUCGGUGUAGGAUGAGCCCGCGGCCUAUCAGCUUGUUGGUGGGGUAAUGGCCUACCAAGGCGGCGACGGGUAGCCGGACUGAGAGGUUGGUCGGCCACAUUGGGACUGAGAUACGGCCCAGACUCCUACGGGAGGCAGCAGUGGGGAAUAUUGCACAAUGGGCGCAAGCCUGAUGCAGCGACGCCGCGUGGGGGAUGACGGCCUUCGGGUUGUAAACUCCUUUCGCCAGGGACGAAGCGUUUUGUGACGGUACCUGGAGAAGAAGCACCGGCUAACUACGUG